AUGACUCUCGGCAACGGAUAUCUCGGCUCUCGCAUCGAUGAAGAACGUAGCGAAAUGCGAUACUUGGUGUGAAUUGCAGAAUCCCGUGAACCAUCGAGUCUUUGAACGCAAGUUGCGCCCGAAGCUAUCAAGCUGAGGGCACGUCUGCCUGGGCGUCACA
rnacentral:rRNA from 1 species